AGGGGAAGCAGGAUAAGGGGAAGGGGGAAGAGGGAAAUUUGGAGGAAGGGAAAGGGGAGGAGGAGGCAGGGCAGAGGAUGGAUGUAGACGAAGUGGAUGAGGAAGCACUGCUGAAGGAUCCAUUCUGGGACCAGCUGGAGAAAGGACUCAUAGAAGUUUCAUUUGAAACCGACAUGUAUUCAAAGGUGAAAAACAGGAGAGCCGUGUUGGAUGCUAAGCGGGAGGAGAAAGAGAGCAAGCAGAAGGAAGAUGAACGUAGCAAGAA